GUCAAGUAUAGGUGUGCAGUACUGCAGUGUGCGCGAUUGCACGAAUAAUAAGUCUCAAUUUAUAUCAAUAUUAUUAAAAAAUGUUAUUGAUUUUUAUUACUUAUCCAAAAAUGGUUUUAUCUUUAGAAUUGAAAAAAGCGGUAAAUGGUAACUUUAAUUGCAUAAUAUAAUAUAAAUACCAGUCAAAAGCAGUCCAUCCAUUUAAAUGUUGAAGCCUUUCUCGACAACAGACAAGUAAUCAAUAAUGUAUCUGUGUUGUAUUUUAUAGAUGGCCAUAAGUUAUGACCUCAACGCCAAAGAUAACUGUAGGCUCGCCGUAUAGGCCGUGAGAAAAACAUAAUACGAGGAAGACGAAAAAAAAUUAUGUAUCAAUCUUAUGUUCAAUCAUCAUCUGGUUGAAACAAAUAUAAAAUAAUAUAUAGAUUGUGCGUAUAAUGUAGUAUGCAUACAUACAUCAGAUAUGCUACAAGCGGUAUGUCUAUAAUAGUAGUAUACUCAUAUAGUUCAUAUUAUUAUAUUGCAUUACAAAGGUAUUCAAAAUUAAAAUAUUAUACUGCAUAUUGUGUAUAUGUGUGUAGUC